rnacentral:rRNA from 1 species
GAGUUUGAUCAUGGCUCAGAUUGAACGCUGGCGGCAUGCCUUACACAUGCAAGUCGAGCGGCAGCGCGGGGGCAACCCUGGCGGCGAGCGGCGAACGGGUGAGUAAUACAUCGGAACGUGUCCAGUAGCGGGGGAUAACCUGUCGAAAGAUAGGCUAAUACCGCAUACGACCUACGGGUGAAAGCGGGGGACCGCAAGGCCUCGCACUAUUGGAGCGGCCGAUGUCGGAUUAGCUAGUUGGCGGGGUAAAAGCCCACCAAGGCGACGAUCCGUAGCUGGUCUGAGAGGACGAUCAGCCACACUGGAACUGAGACACGGUCCAGACUCCUACGGGAGGCAGCAGUGGGGAAUUUUGGACAAUGGGGGCAACCCUGAUCCAGCCAUGCCGCGUGAGUGAAGAAGGCCUUCGGUUGUAA